rnacentral:RNase_P_RNA from 1 species
GGAGUCGGCCAGACAGUCGCGUCAUCCCCUCGCAUUUCGGUGCGGCGGGAUGCCGAGGAAAGUCCGGGCUCCAUAGGGCAAGGUGCCAGGUAACGCCUGGGCGGCGCGAGCCGACGGACUAGUGCAACAGAAAGAUACCGCCUACGUCUGCGCAAGCAGGCCGGUAAGGGUGAAAUGGUGCGGUAAGAGCGCACCGCGAGUCCGGUAACGGACCGGCACGGCAAACCCCACCUGGAGCAAGACCAAAUAGGGACCUCAUGGCGCGGCCCGCGUCGGGUCCGGGUAGGUUGCUUGAGCGUACCGGUGACGGUGCGCCUAGAAGAAUGACUGUCCACGACAGAACCCGGCUUAUCGGCCGGCUCCGCCA